rnacentral:rRNA from 1 species
UACGUAGGGGGCUAGCGUUGUCCGGAAUCAUUGGGCGUAAAGCGCGUGUAGGCGGUCCGGUAAGUCCGCUGUGAAAGUCGAGGGCUCAACCCUCGAAUGCCGGUGGAUACUGUCGGGCUAGAGUGCGGAAGAGGCGAGUGGAAUUCCUGGUGUAGCGGUGAAAUGCGCAGAUAUCAGGAGGAACACCUAUUGCGAAGGCAGCUCGCUGGGACGUUACUGACGCUGAGGCGCGAAAGCUAGGGGAGCAAACGGG